rnacentral:lncRNA from 1 species
GAUGGAUAUUACAAGUCAAUACACCGAGGGGCCAACAGAAGGUCCAGAAUCCCAAUUAACCUUUGGCUAAGUAAAGAGUCUUUGUUGGGUCACAGGAAAGUUAAUUCCAGAAACAUGCUGGGAAGUUUUAUUUUCUUACUAAAUGAUAGCUAUGCAGCAUAAAAGCCAUGUCAAAGGAAUUCAAUCGACUCAAACACAUUACAGCACUUUCCAAUCUGGCUCCAGUUACCAACUUUUAACAACCAGGUUAUCAAAUGAGUUAACAGAAUCCCUCUUCUCUUACUGAGCCUCAGAAUCAACAUGGAAGGUUGGAGCUUCUGCUACUCUAACGUCAACAACACUCCAGAACUUAAGACAAGGCUCUGAGGGUUUGGCAUAGGGUCAAACUGCAGCCUAUAGUACAGUAAACAAGUGUGGGAAAACGCUCAUUUCAUAACCCAUCCUUUGUGUAACAAGAGGCGGGUAAAAGAAUAAUUUCCCAUGUUAUUAUCCAGGGCUUGUCUGAAUUUCCAGCCUUUCAAAUAUAUACAUACUAUGUGUGCCAAAGUACAUUUGUAUUGUCCAGAGGGUAUCUUCCCAGAUACAGUUAGGCCUCUCCCUCCACCGUGUGGAUCCCGAGGAUCAAACUCAAGUUGCCAGACUUAACCAUAAAAAGGUUUUCUCCACUGAGUCACCUUGACAACUCCUGUACUAAAUCAUCUGCCCAAAUUAUUCUUUUCUAAAGUUAUGUCUGAGUUUGACAUACUGCCAAAGGUAUUGGACAAGAAGCACUGCUUAGGCAGCACAAGGUGUGUGUGCUAAUGCCACUUUAAUUGGUUUUUGCAAAUACUGACAAUUGCAUCUGACACAGCAGAGCAAGUCCAGGACAUCUGAGCCAAGUCCAACACUUGGAAACUAACAUUUCCUGUCAUAAAACUUGCAGUUUGGCUUUGGUAAUAUGUUUAAAAUGUUUCCAUCUUUUUUUUUAAACCUUCCUUUUCCCUUUGCCUGUAAUUCCUCCAGUUUCACUGAAAAUUUCUUCUUUGAUGCUUAGUCUUGUAGUUACCUCAAAGUACAAGAAAAUAUGUUCCUUAGACAUCACAAAAGAAAAAAAAAAGCCAUACUUCCAGCUUUGAGAACAUUCAAAGCUAACACAGCUGCCUUUUCCGCCUCUUUGAGAGUUGUGUUGCCUACACUAGGAGCCAGAGUUAAACAAACACUUCAGUUGUUAUUCAGUAAGAAGUGUGAUGACACAGGAUACCCACUGAUUGUUUCCUGAGGGCCCCCGUGGUAAUAUUUCCUGGCUACUUAGAUCAGCCAUUCCGUUGGUACUGUGAGCCAACUACUCAGGAACUCACAGACCCAGGGGUAAAGAGAUCAUUCAGUCUAGUUUUUUUCUGAAGGGUUUAUAUACCAGAUUUCUGCUCUGUGAUAGGAGCUCGUGCCUCUCAAACCUAUCUGAACCAAUUGCUAGGCAGGUUCAACAGGAAUUUAUUUCUUGUGAUAACCAAAAUAUUCUUUCUGUAACCUUUUAUGUAUUGAUCUUUUGUGUCUUUGAGCUAUACAGAUGUACUGUUCCAGAAAUUAUCAUGCCAUUAAAUUAGCUUACAUUCCAAUCUGAGCCUCUCCUAGACAGUGCUGAUAGCAAUACUCCAUGGGGGCCAUUAUUGGAGCCCCAGCCACUUUCCUGUAGCCUCGUGUGAAUGAGAAAGGCCCAGAAGCCACACAGAGCUACAUACUCAGAGUUUUCCUGAAUUCUUUGUUCAUUGGUGCCCUACUUGUUUUAGUGAUGUUUUCUUGGCUUUCUGCCCUUCUAGAUUCCACUGGGGAUGCUGUGAGAGAGCAAGCUGCUGAUGCCACAGUCAAGGAGCCCUGAGGUUCCUCCUCCCUGGGUACUCUCUUCCCUUUAUUCCAAAAUGUAGCACUCUUUGGUCUAGGAGAUGUCCCAGUGGGUAAAGUAGAUGCUGCUAAGCCUGACAACCUGAGUUUAGUCCCUUGGAUUGACAGGGAGGUUGGAAAUAGUCCAUGACCUAAACACACACACACACACACACACACACACACACACACACACACACACACAGAGAGAGAGAGAGAGAGAGAGAGAGAGAGAGAGUAGCACUUCACUAAUUGAAAUCAUUUCUCUCUUUACUUCUAAGCCUUUUUAAAAGGCAGAAGAAGCCUUUGUUGCCAGUCUCCACAUCCAACCCCAGCAAGUGAAUUCAGUGUUUGAUACUCAUUGCCUGAAUGAGCUUGGGUGGAAGGGAAGACAAGGAACACCAACUGAGCACUAGUAACCACCACACCUAGUUUCCUGCUUUGCAUCUGAAAUGCCCCUCACAGGUCAAAGGUUUUGCAUCCCUGCUCUCCAGUUGAUGGAGCUCUUUUGUCAGUUUCUGAGGCAUGGCUGGCAAAGGUGUGUCAUCUGUCAUGAGCUGUUAAAAGUUACACCUUGUCAUCAUUUCCUAUCUGUUUUAGUCAUGGUUCUCUACAGGAAUAGAAUUUGCACAGUGCGUAUAAUAACGAAUGUGUUCAAAUAUGUAUAUACACAUAUAUAAUGAGAUGUAUUAUGAUGGCUUACAGGAUGUGGCUCAGCUAAUCCAACAAUGGCUAUCUAUUAAGUGAAGGUCCAAGAAUCCAGUAGUUGCUCAGUCCACAAGGCUGGAUGUCUUCGCAGGUCUUCAGUAUAUGUUGGAUUCCCAAAGAAGUAGGCUCCAACACCUGUGCUGGGAGGAGGCUAUAAGGCAACGGGACACAGAUGCUCAGGGCUGCAUCCAGCCGGCCGGCCUCAGGUGCCAGCUGGAAUACCGGAGCGUGGAUUUUCUUUAUUUGAGUCUGCUCCUUUAUGGUACCUUUUAAUUGAAAAAAAGAAUGGGGCACAUGAAAUAAAAGAAAUACAAAUUAUUUUUUAAAAAAUUCAUAAUAGAAAAACUUAAACCUGAAUGGAAGAAUCUCUAGGCUCAGAGGUUUCACAACAGCAUUCUAUCAAAAUUUAAAUGAUUAAGCCCAGCUCUACUUCAUAUUUUCUUGGAAGUAUAAUAGAGGAUAGUUUAUAAAGUUGGUGUUGCCCUGAUACCAAAG